rnacentral:rRNA from 1 species
GCGAACGCUAGCGGCAGGCUUAACACAUGCAAGUCGUGCGGAGAACUUCGGUUCUCAGCGGCGAACGGGUGAGUAACACGUAGGUCACGUACCCCCUGGUGGAGGAUAACUCCGGGAAACCGGAGCUAAUACUGCACAUGGUCCUUCGGGAUCAAAGCCUUCGGGCGCCAGAGGAUCGGCCUGCGGCCCAUUAUUUAAUCCUAGUUGGUAGGGUAACGGCCUACCAAGGGUACGAUGGGUAGCUGGUCUGAGAGGAUGAUCAGCCACACUGGGACUGAGACACGGCCCAGACUCCUACGGGAGGCAGCAGUGGGGAAUAUUGGACAAUGGGCGAAAGCCUGAUCCAGCCAUGCCGCGUGGGUGAAGAAGGCCUUCGGGUCGUAAAGCCCUGUCGGGAGGGACGAAGACUUCGGUUUGACGGUACCUCGCAAGAAAGCACCGGCUAACUCCGU